GUAUCUCUGUAGAGUCUGCAUAUCAAUAAGCGGAGGAAAAGAAACUAACUAGGAUUCCCUUAGUAACGGCGAGUGAAGCGGGAAGAGCUCAAAUUUGAAAUCUUCAAGGUUUUACCUUGACGAAUUGUAGUUUAAAGAAGUGUUUUCUGUUGGUGUUUUGGUAAAAGUUCUUUGGAAUAGGACAUCAUAGAGGGUGAGAAUCCCGUAUUUGACCAUUACUUCCAGCGUUGUGAUACACUUUCAAAGAGUCGGAUUGUUUGGGAAUGCAGUCCAAAAUGGGUGGUAAAUUUCAUCUAAAGCUAAAUAUUGGCGAGAGACCGAUAGCGAACAAGUGCCGUGAGGGAAAGAUGAAAAGAACUUUGAAAAGAGAGUUAAACAGUACGUGAAAUUGUCAAAAGGGAAGCGUUUGACACCAGUGUUGUUUUCUCGAAAAUCAAUUAAAAAAAGUUGGAUUUUGUAUUGUUAAGACCUUAUCAGCUUACUGUACUCUUUUCUUGCUUUUUUUAAUGCACUUUUCGUUUAACAAGUCAACAUCAAUUUCUUUUGUUGUAAAAGAGUCAUUGGAAGGUGGCUUUCACUUCGGUGAAAGUGUUUAUAGCCUUUGGCUUCUGCAAUCGGAGAGAUUGAGGUCUGCAGCGUAGAUCCUUCGGGGCUAGAUACAUUAGAUGCUAAGUUAUAGCUUUUUAUAGACAACUUGUUGACUAUGAUUAAGUCAUGUAGCUUACUCGUUAUGCCUAUUUUACCUACGCUUAGGAUGUUGAUCUGUAGUGCGUGCGC
rnacentral:rRNA from 1 species